GACGAACGCUGGCGGCGUGCUUAACACAUGCAAGUCGAACGGAAAGGCCCUGCUUUUGUGGGGUGCUCGAGUGGCGAACGGGUGAGUAACACGUGAGUAACCUGCCCUUGACUUUGGGAUAACUUCAGGAAACUGGGGCUAAUACCGGAUAGGAGCUCCUGCUGCAUGGUGGGGGUUGGAAAGUUUCGGCGGUUGGGGAUGGACUCGCGGCUUAUCAGCUUGUUGGUGGGGUAGUGGCUUACCAAGGCUUUGACGGGUAGCCGGCCUGAGAGGUUGACCGGCCACAAUGGGACUGAGAUACGGCCCAGACUCGUACGGGAGGCAGCAGUGGGGAAUAUUGCACAAUGGGCGGAAGCCUGAUGCAGCAACGCCGCGUGCGGGAUGACGGCCUUCGGGUUGUAAACCGCUUUCGCCUGUGACGAAGCGUGAGUGACGGUAAUGGGUAAAGAAGCACCGGCUAACUACGUG
rnacentral:rRNA from 1 species